rnacentral:tRNA from 1 species
GCCCAGAUAGCUCAAUAGGCUAGAGCAUGGAUGAAUAUGUGCCUUAGGUAUAAACAUGGAUCAUCUGAAAAGGUUGUAAGUUCAAAUCUCACUCUGGACA